ACGAGCCGCCCGGCCACGGGGUGCGGCGCGGUCACCUUCCCACCCGUCCCACACUGUACCGGCCGGUCGACGAUGUGACCACACCGCGCAGUGGCAUGCGCGCGCGGUCUGCUCGCGCCGCGUAGGGACAGCCACGGCCACUUGACGGUGCGUAACGAUAUUAUAAUAAUGAUAUUAUUAUACGAUUUCGUAAAACGACCGCCGAGAAACGGAAAAAUCGCGCCGCGCAAGCGAGGGGGUGGCGGCGGCGACCUGGGAAAAUGCGGAGAAAAACCGACGCCGCCGUCGACGAGACGGACUGUCAUCGUCCGCGGACGCCGCGGGCGCGUGUGCGCUUUUACGCACGCCUCGUCGAACCCAUUCGAUCGCCAGAUGGUUUUCAUCUAUACAAGCGUAUAUGGUCCGCCGAAGAGUACAGGUAUAUAAGUUCCGGUUCGUAUUUAUAUAUAUACUGUCGUGAGUGUGUGAAGUUUUUGUAGAAAGCGUUGAAUACCAUAUUGAAAGCAUCCGCGUUCAAUGGUUUUACUUAUGCCAUCACAAUUUCGCCUGUUCCUCAUCGUAGCCAAAAUUCGAAUGCUUCCCAGCACCAUACAGAAUUUAACGCUCAAUGUUUUAUAUAGAUUUGAACGAUCAACGAUAAAACGUAUAAAAAGAUUGCACGUAAGUCAUUACCAUAAGCCUGGAAGUGAUUGGAUGAAGAGAGCACCCCCCACCCACAUGAUUUUAAUGUAUACAAGAAGUUUACAAUAAAUCAUAAUUUUAUUUUGCGAAUCACGUGUAUGUGUACAAUGUAUGGAAGUGUGCCUGUCAGUCCCGAUGUCUCCUGCGAAAUAAUAUAACUAUAGUCAGUUUCCAUAGACAAAUUUAAUUGCGCCAAAAGUCACCAGAAUCGUCGACUUGAUUCAUUCUAUUUCAAUUAUAGCACAUAUAAUCAGAUUCAGGUAUGGAGAAGGGAAACAUGCUUAUUUUUCUUAUAGCGGAUCGCCUAUUGUUAAUUAAGCCUACGGGUGCGCAUUAGUACAUUAUUUGU